UACGUAGGGAGCAAGCGUUGUCCGGAAUCAUUGGGCGUAAAGCGCGCGUAGGCGGCCUCGUAAGUCCGUUGUGAAAGUCAAAGGCUCAACCUUUGAAAGCCGAUGGAUACUGUGAGGCUAGAGUCCGGAAGAGGCGAGUGGAAUUCCUGGUGUAGCGGUGGAAUGCGCAGAUAUCAGGAGGAACACCAAUAGCGAAGGCAGCUCGCUGGGACGGUACUGACGCUAAGGCGCGAAAGCGUGGGGAACGAACAGG
rnacentral:rRNA from 1 species